UGGGGUUGUAGCUCAGUGGUAGAGCUCUUGCCUUGCAUGCAUGAAGCCCUGGGUUCUAUCCCCAGCACCACAA
rnacentral:tRNA from 1 species